AUUAUCAGUUAUGCAUGCCAAAGCACAUGAGUGGAGUUAUGAGAUAAAAUGGUCCGGAAGAAAUCAAAGGAGCUGGUCUUACAAUCGGAGAAGAGGUGGAGCAGGUCAACUCCUUGUCGAGAGCAGCAGUCUGCACUAAAUAUAUGUCCAAAGCUGCAUGUUCAGACAUGCUCACAGUUCUUGCUUCUGCAUGGAACAAACGGAAAUCUGAAAAUCUGGCUAAAAGUUUGUCAUAAAGAUACGUUAAGACAACCGAAAGGCUGAAAGUAGAAAGAGAGAGCUUUGCAAGUCUGCAGGCUGAGCUUAAUGUCAGCGACGAUAACAUUCAGCAGUGGGUCAGUGAUGUCCAGCAGUGGGCUGCAGUAUCAAGAGCGAAGGACGACGCUGGACUUGAGGGCAAAAUUCGAGGCCUUUAUGUCAGCAUAAAGCUGAGAAAAAGCAAUCUGUACCAUCAGACAGAUAGCAACAAAAGAAGGCACAGAAUAAGAAGAAGAAUUAAUGAAGAUAAGUCGACCUUGGCAGCUGCCAUUAAAGAAUUCAAUGAACAGUCAGUCCACCAGAUUCCUUCUGUGGACGAACUCCUCGCAGCGGAUCAUUUCCAAUUCCUAAAUAGAUAUUUUACCAUUGUUUUACAAAUUACGUAGGAAAAGUAAUAGAUUAUUUUAUGACUAGAGUGGACCUCAAAAAUCUACAUAAAAGGAGUUAUGACCUUUGUCACAAAAACUCUUUCUUCAUUGCCUUUUUCCCUAUCACGCUUUAGAAAUCAUCAUUAAAAUCAGAUUUUUCAUUACCAUGGAAAUGGUUCAUCAAAAUCAUAUUACAAAAUAUUUUCAUUCAUGGAUUAUAAAAAUUUAGGU